UUGUUUUUUUUGGCCAGUAACCGCACAGGAGUUAGUAAUGAAAGAUUGGUCACAAGAAACCAAAAAAAAAGGGGGGGGGGGGGAGACCUUUUUGUGUUUGUGAGGAAGAUUGCAAGUAAACGGUUUAGCCAUGUUCCUUUGUCCUUGAGCCAUCUUCCCCACCUCUCACUCCUCUGUCGGACCCAUAUCCUUAUGUUCCCCUUCAUCAUUCGCCAAUUGUCAGGAUUUGGACACGGUUUUAGUACUAGAUAAAUGUAUAGCUGCAUCAAAGCAAGGACCUUGCACCUUAGAGGAGAAUAAAGUGCAGCAAGGGAAAGUGGCGCAUGAUGAAACAGUGGGGACUGGACUUUCCAAUCGGCAUUCAGGAGCUACCACAUCUUUACAGACGGACUCGCCGUCCUUGCUUCUAGGGCAGAGGAGGCACACCAGAUCAAUGCUGGGACCUGCACAGCACCAUGUGACAGAAACAGUGAAUCCAAGCUCAGGUGACACAAUGGAGGACAUGGUAGAGAUGGAUUAUGCUCAACCACACCGAAAACCGCCCAUCCACAAUGAAAAGCCCUAGCUGCUUAAUUGCUGAUAAUGUCCAUAUCCAUGUGCUUAAUUGCUGAUAAUAAAUUAAUUUUUUUUUCAAGUCAAAAAGUGAGACUACUACUUUUUAGUUUGUCAAAUCUGUAAGCUGGGAUGUAAGAUUCCAGUGACAUGCUAUUUCCUGGGAAAGUGUCAAAGGAUCCUGUUUCCGUAUCCCCUAAAAUAUUUGAAUUGAGUGAAGAACAAUCUAAAAAAUCUGAUGAAUAAUGUAGUUUCAGCUUUCUCUGGUUUGAGGUA